rnacentral:tRNA from 2 species
GGCCUCGUAGUUCAACGGAUAGAAUGGGAGUUUCCUAAACUUUUGAUACAGGUUCGAUUCCUGUCGAGGCUA